GUGCUUGCACCGGGGAUUAGUGGCGAACGGGUGAGUAACACGUGAGUAACCUGCCCUUAACUCUGGGAUAAGCCUGGGAAACUGGGUCUAAUACCGGAUAUGACUCCUCAUCGCAUGGUGGGGGGUGGAAAGCUUUUUGUGGUUUUGGAUGGACUCGCGGCCUAUCAGCUUGUUGGUGAGGUAAUGGCUUACCAAGGCGACGACGGGUAGCCGGCCUGAGAGGGUGACCGGCCACACUGGGACUGAGACACGGCCCAGACUCCUACGGGAGGCAGCAGUGGGGAAUAUUGCACAAUGGGCGCAAGCCUGAUGCAGCGACGCCGCGUGAGGGAUGACGGCCUUCGGGUUGUAAACCUCUUUCAGUAGGGAAGAAGCGAAAGUGACGGUACCUGCAGAAGAAGCGCCGGCUAACUACGUGCCAGCAGCCGCGGUAAUACGUAGGGCGCAAGCGUUAUCCGGAAUUAUUGGGCGUAAAGAGCUCGUAGGCGGUUUGUCGCGUCUGCCGUGAAAGUCCGGGGCUCAACUCCGGAUCUGCGGUGGGUACGGGCAGACUAGAGUGAUGUAGGGGAGACUGGAAUUCCUGGUGUAGCGGUGAAAUGCGCAGAUAUCAGGAGGAACACCGAUGGCGAAGGCAGGUCUCUGGGCAUUAACUGACGCUGAGGAGCGAAAGCAUGGGGAGCGAACAGGAUUAGAUACCCUGGUAGUCCAUGCCGUAAACGUUGGGCACUAGGUGUGGGGGACAUUCCACGUUUUCCGCGCCGUAGCUAACGCAUUAAGUGCCCCGCCUGGGGAGUACGGCC
rnacentral:rRNA from 1 species